GGCUGUAGCUCAGUGGCAGAGCAUCUGCCUUGCAGAGGCAGCCAGGUUCAAUCCCUGGAAUCUCCA